rnacentral:misc_RNA from 1 species
CUAUACAACACAACAUAUAUACAUAGAUACAUAACACAUAUCUAUAUAUAUAAAAUAUAUCGAAUAUAAGAACAUAAAUAUAUUGUGUAUAUUGUGCGCGUGUGCACCCCAUCGAUGCACAGGAUUCCUGUAAUGGUGUACGUCGGUGUGACAGAAAAAGACAAUUGACUCGUAGCUGGCAGAGUCGAACGUCGGUGCUUGUCGGGGGCCUUCUGACGUCACAUCCUGCUACUCUGCUACUACACUACUAUUACUACUAUAUACAUAUAUAUACUGUUGCUACCACAACUACUGCUGCUGCUGCUGCUGUUGCUGUUGCUGCUGUUACUGCUGCUGUGACUUUGCUCUGCUGUUGAACGACAACGAGCCGCGAUCUCAUCUGGACUACGGCGCACGAAGCGAAUGAAGAAGGAUGACCAGACGCGAGAAGAGGAUCUUCGGGAUCCUUGUCUUGCUGAACAUCCUUGGAAAGGUUCCAGCGAAUCUAACAGCCUCCUCGGAAUCGGAAUCGAUCGAGGAGACGGUAGCAAUCACUACAACGAAGAAACCAAUACCAGAGAGAUGCUUAGAAAAACAGGUUCAAGGACCUUGCAAGCAUUAUGUAUAUAAAUGGUCUUUUCAUAAAGCUGAAGGAAAAUGCAAGAUGUUCCCUUAUGGAAGUUGUUUAGGAAAUGAGAAUAGAUUCAAUUCUGAAGCUGAGUGUCUUCAUUAUUGUGUCGGUGGUCCUGAUCACACACUACCACCUUACCUGGUAACAAAAGGAGGAGUAUUUGUGACAACGAGUGUUCCAACGAGUAGUACACCACCUAUAACUACAUCAAGUACUCCAAGACCAACGUUCACACCACCCGAACCAACAAGGCCACCAGUACCAAAGGAAGAACGAGGAAAGGAAUUGACAUUCAUGGAAUCAGGAUACGAGAAGACGUUCAUGUUUGCACAAAGUAAUACGUUCAUUCAACUAGACGGCAGUGGAAUAAAAACCUUCCAAUUGAGAUUAUGCCGUGAAAUAUCAUUCAAAUUUCGAACGAAAUUGCCACACGGUUUACUCGUUUAUCACAGCGUGAAAGAUCGUCCAGAAGGUUUAGAACCUUACGCGCUUUACGUGAUAGUUGAAAAGGGUCAAUUGAAGGUAGUACAUGUGUUUGGAAAAAAUUCAACGAGUAUUACCGUUGGUGAAGGACUUAACAGAGACGAGUGGCAUAGUGUUCUGGUUAGAAUUGAUGUUCACGGAGCUAAACUAAUCGCUAGGGUCGAUGAAAAGCAAGCAGAAACUAAUUUAGAAGUUCUUGAACGUUUCGUCAAUUAUGGUGUUUCGGAGGAAUUGGCAUCCGUUGUUCUUAUAGGAGGAUUAAGUUCAGAGGAGCGUUUACAUGGAGUAAAAUAUAUCAUAGAAUCUUUUGUCGGUUGCAUCAGAGACAUGGUCCUCAGUUCCGGCAAGUCGGCAAGUGACUUGUUACCCAUUCAACCGUUGAUUGCAACAAAGCAUGAAAAUGUAAAGGAAGGUUGCAUCGACAAAUGCAGGACAAGGGAAAACCUUUGCUUUAUGGCCGACCAAUGUGUCAAUCAUUAUAACAGCUUGACAUGUGACUGUUUUGGAACGAAAUACGAAGGAGAACGUUGUGACGUCUACACUGCCACGAUUUUAACGUUGAGGGGAUCAUCGUACGUGUCAUUUCGAGUUUACGAUUGGAAAGACCGUGUUCAUUCCUCCGUUAACAGGAUAAGCUUGGCUUUCAAGACAAAGUUCGACGACUCGGCAUUAUUUUAUGCGUCUGGUGAAAUUGAUGGUACACCGCAUUACGUAGCAGCAUCCAUUUUGAACGAUUCAGUUGUCGUUGAAUUAGAUUUUGGUCAUGAUUCCAAAAUUCAUACGGAACUUGGCGAUUAUGUUACGUCAGAUCAUUGGAACAAUUUAACCAUCUUUCACAAUGGUUCAUGGGUAUACGUUAGUUUGGACGAAGAAGUUAAAGUACUCAAGAUACCUGGUGAAAAUUAUAACAUGAUUAUCGAUCCUGAAAUAUAUAUCGGUGGUGGACCAGAGCUUCAUAAGAAAAAGGGUUUAGUUUCGUAUAACAAUUUUGUAGGAUCAUUGAAAUAUGUAUUCUUUAACGACAAGUCGAUCAUCUAUGAAUUGAAACGAUCUAAUCCUAUGGUUCAUUAUAUCGGCGUGCUAGAACCGGAGUAUUACGAGGCCGACGUUGAGGUCAUUCCUAUUACGUACCCUUUCGCAGGAAGUCAUAUUUGGUGGCCUAUUGAGAAAACGGAUUCUCUUAAGUUAAACUUUGAUUUUAAAAGUUCAAAACCAAUUGCAGUUAUUGCAUCGGGAGAAGUCCAUAGUGAACAGGGACUUGGUUAUUGGGAGCUUCGCUUGGUUAACGACGAAAUACGUUUUCAAUUGAUACCUGCCCUAAUAGAAAAUAUUACAGUAUCAACUGCUGUCAAAUUUCCACCAUACAACACUUCCUGGCACGCCGUUGAAUUAAAUUAUACAAAAGGCGAGUUAAACAUUCUAGUCGAUUAUAGAAAUAAACAAACCAAGCAACUUUCUUCUAUGAUUUUUGAAUUGGAUAACAAAGUAAUCAUUGGAAGUGGCAAAAGUAAUGCUGGUCUAGUAGGUUGCAUGAGAGAUAUUCAAGUAAAUGGACAAAACAUUGAACCUAGAUACAUUAUAAAUACUGAAAGAGUUGUCGGUGAAGUAGCAUUGGAUAAUUGCCAAUUCGUUGACCCAUGUAAAAGACCAAACACUUGUGAACACGGUGGUAAAUGUUCUGUUAAAGAAGAUCGAAUUACUUGUGAUUGUACGGACACUGGUUAUAUUGGAAAAAAUUGCCAUUUUGCACAAUAUAGAAAAACCUGUGAAGAAUUAGCGUUAUUAGACAACACUCAAGAUGGUGUUUAUAGAAUUGACAUUGACGGAAAUGGAAGAUUUCCACCUGCAGUAGUAAAAUGUGAAUUUCAAUCAAUCGAAGAUUCAACCAAAACAAUCGUAGAACAUAAUUUGCCAUCUCAAGUAGACGUUAGAUCCUUUUCUCAAUUUGAUUUUUCAUAUAGUAUUACGUACAGACAAUUUACUGCAGAGAUGCUUCAAGAACUGAUCUCUCAUUCACUUUAUUGUAAACAAUAUGUAAAAUAUGAUUGUUACAAAGCACCAUUGGAACUUCAUAGUGCAACCUGGUUUCUUGGUUCAAAAGGAACAACAGUUGAUUUUAUUGGAAAUGUUAAUAGAGGCUCUUGUCCAUGUAGUGAAAACAGAACCUGUGUGGAUGAAAAUAUGAGUUGUAACUGUGAUGUGUCAUCUGGAAAUGCAGGAAAAUGGCUAUCUGAUGAAGGUUAUUACAAGACACCUGAUUCAUUAGGUAUCACUGGUAUGGUCUUCUUACAGCAAAAAGAUCUGGAAGAAGAUGCUCAAGGCCGUAUAACAUUAGGUCCAUUGGAAUGUGUUGAGACAAACACACAGAAAUAUGUUGUUACCUUUACAACUUCACAAUCCUAUAUUGAAGUACCAGGUUGGAGAAAAGGUGACAUAGCUUUUAGUUUUCGUACAACAGGAGAAAGAGCUAUCCUUCUUUAUCAACCACCAAUUAGGAGUAAUUAUCCAUCGUUCAUGGUAGCACUGACAUCAGAAUAUCGGCUAACUUUUAACUUUACUCUCAACACUGGAACCGUUCAAGAAUUGGAAAUAAAAAGUGGAAGGAAAUUGAAUAACGGAGAAUGGCAAAAGAUUUGGAUCGAUUAUAAUGAUUAUCAUGUUAGAUUUAUGAUUAAUACUGAUUAUCAAAUGGUAAAUUUGACAUCUGAAGAAGAGUUUGGUCCGUUCGAGGGUUCUAUGUUUAUCGGAGGUGCUACAGCAGAACAUUUGAAGACUUCAUCGGUCAGUGAAGGAUUAAUUGGAUGUUUCCGAGGUCUUGUUGUAAAUGGUGAAAUCUUGGAUAUCCAUAGUUAUAUGUCGGUACAUCUUUCGGAAAUUAUAAAAGAUUGUAAACCUUCUUGUCAACCUAACAAAUGUCAAAACGGUGCAAAAUGUGUCGAACAGUGGAGUAAAUUUCAAUGUGUUUGCAAGAAUAAGUGGGCUCAUUUAGGAAUUUAUUGUGAAACAAACAUUAAUAAUAAAGCUUUGACGUUUACUUCGUCGGGUGCUUUUCUGAAAAAAAAUUAUUUUGGCUCGGACGAUGAUGGUGAAAAAAUAUUAUUGAAGAGUAUGUUCGAACAUAGAAUAUUAAUUAAUCUGAGAACAUAUGAUACUCAUUCAUUGAUACUUUAUGCUAACGAUCAUUUAAAUAAUUUUAUACAUCUUUACAUUUCGAAUGGUACAAAUAUUGUUUAUCUCUUCAAUGCUGGUAAUGAAAUCAAAAAUAUUACUGUACAUCAUCCACAGGCUAACACUGGAAUAUCAAUACAAAUAGCCAUACUUCAUGAAGACAAAUCUACGAUUCUUGUUGUGAAUGAAUAUAACAAAACAUUGAAUGCAACUCCAAUACUUUUAGAUUCUUAUUCUAAUAAACCUUGGAUUAAUCCUGAAAAGGAAGUUUUAGCACCUCAAAGACCACCCGCACCACCAACAGAUUACUUUCAAAUGAAUUUGGGAGGUUUUGAUCCAGACGAUCUUUUAAGAGUAGGAAAAGAAGGUAAUCUUACUCAAGGGUAUGUAGGAUGUCUACGAGGGUUAAUGAUCGGCAAGUAUCACGUGGAUUUACCAAACUUAGCCAACGAAGCCAAUCACGAAGGUAGCAAAGGUGUCCUUCCGAAUUGUCAAAUGAAAUGUGACGCUAUGCCUUGCAAGAACAUGGGUAUAUGUACGGAAGAUUUUGGAAGGCAAGAAUCCUCUUGCAAUUGUGACUUAACAUCAUAUUUUGGUGAACACUGUGAAGAUGAGAAAGGUGCCGAUUUCAGUGGUGAUAGUGUACUUCAACGUGAAUUCGACCUAGAAGGAGAAGUGAAGCAAGUGAAAGUACAACUAGCAUUUUCAACGAACGAACUACGGCAGCGUACAACGGCAUUGUUGCUCUUGCAAACAGAAAACAAAAGAAGCUAUUAUCUACUCGUGGCCUUAACGUCGGAGGGUCAGCUGAUCUUCGAAGAGGAUGUCGAAGGCUCGGUUUAUGGUGUACGACUCAACGAUAGAAACUUCUUGAAUGGAGCUAGGCAUAGCAUUUAUUAUAUACGAGAAAAUAACACAGCGACACUAUUGGUCGAUCGCCAAGAAGUAAGCCUCUCACCAAUCCCAGCAAUCAAUACAGGCAAUCAAGGUGAUGACUAUGAUCCAGGUUCGACUGAGAUUCAACUUGGUGGACUAAAUACUACAGAUCCUCGGUUUUUGGCUUAUAAAGGAUACACCGGUUGCCUAAGCAACGUUGUUAUCUCGAUUAAUGGCGGACCUAUAAUGAAACCUUUAGAAGAGUACAUGUUAUUUACAAAACAAGGCAGUGAAACUGUCAGAGCAACCAGUCCAGGUGGUGUUAGAAGCGCACAAUGUGCAGUUUUUCAUGCACAACCUAGGGGUAUAGAAUCUCAAAGAAAUGACAGUGUUGGACGUGAUCGAGCAUGGGACGGGGAUCCCCCAGAAAGGAUUCUCUACAAAUCUCAAUAUUCUGACGCUACUAAAGAAGAACAAGGUGCAGGAACUUACGUUUUCAUAGCUCUAGUUUGUUUAUUCGUCGCUGCCGUGAUAGGAUGUAUUUAUGAAGUAUGGCGAAGUGCAAGAAAGGAUAGAAGACGUCGAAGAAGUGCAGCAGCUGUAGCUAGUAAAACACCGAGUCCUUCGGGAUCACAGAGAUGGCAACCUCAACAGUACACAGAUUCAUUGGUAACAACGACCGGUAUUAAAACUAUUGGAUUUAAAAUUACUGAUGAUGAGAAAAGGCCAAAUGGUACUCAUAUUAAAGCUACAGCUAAAGAAUACAAACCAAUACCUAAUACAGAACCUAAGGAAUUGAUGAAUGAUAAAAAAGUUCACAUAAAAGCAGACGAGGAACCAGAGAAAAAGGAGCUGCUAGGGGUAAAUACAGGCAUCGUCAAUAAACCUCCGAAACCAAACCCAUUUUCAAUGGAGGAUCUAAGAGAAGAACCAGAAUUAGAAGAAUGCGAAGAAGAAGAAGAAGAAGAUGAAAAUGACGAUAAAACUGAUUUGAUGGAAGAGGAUGAUCAAGAAGAACAAGAUGGAGAUGAUAAAGGAAACAAUGCUGCUGCUGCUACUACAGCUGAUGAAGAAGAUGAUGAUGAAGAAGAAGAAGGUGAUAACGAAGACGGCCAAGAGGACGAGGUCCUCUUGAAGUCGCCUAGGAGUAGUUCGUCGUCUAGCACGAACGUCGAUGAAAACGUUGUCGAACCAUCAAAUACCAUUCUCGAAACCAACCAUACAAAUUCUACGUGCGAACUUUAGAGGCUAGCACGAGCAAUGACAUUGGACAACGUUUGAAAGUUCCUGAACGUUCGCCGACAUCAACAGAUACCAGAAAACCUUUGGUUCUGAAC